UACGAGAACGCUUCAGCUUGCUGAAGCUAGUAAAGUGGCGCACGGGUGAGUAACGCGUAGGUAAUUUGCCUCCAAGCCCGGAAUAACACCGCGAAAGUGGUGCUAAUACCGGAUAAUAUCCUGGAAUCUCCGGAUUUUGGGAUCAAAGGUGGCCUCUACAUGUAAGCUACUGCUUGGAGAAAAGCUUGCGUACCAUUAGCUUGUUGGUGAGGUAACGGCUCACCAAGGCUUUGAUGGUUAGCUGGUCUGAGAGGAUGAUCAGCCACACUGGAACUGAGACACGGUCCAGACUCCUACGGGAGGCAGCAGUGAGGAAUUUUGCGCAAUGGGGGAAACCCUGACGCAGCAACGCCGCGUGAGUGAAGAAGGCUUUUGAGUCGUAAAGCUCUGUCAAGUGGAAAGAAAUUGUCUAUCAAUAAUACUGAUAGGCAUUGACGGUACCACUAAAGGAAGCACCGGCUAACUCCGUGCCAGCAGCCGCGGUAAUACGGGGGGUGCUAGCGUUAAUCGGAAUUAUUGGGCGUAAAGGGCGCGCAGGCGGCCAUGUAAGUCAGAUGUGAAAGCCCGGGGCUCAACCCCGGAAGUACAUUUGAAACUAUAUGGCUUGAGUAUGGGAGAGGGAAGUGGAAUUCCUGGUGUAGCGGUGAAAUGCGUAGAUAUCAGGAGGANNNCAGCCGGUGNNG
rnacentral:rRNA from 1 species